AUUGAACGCUGGCGGCAGGCCUAACACAUGCAAGUCGAGCGAGCGGCGGACGGGUGAGUAAUGCCUGGGAAUUGCCCAGUCGAGGGGGACAACAGUUGGAAACGACUGCUAAUACCGCAUACGAUUGGAUUGCCAAGGUGGGCUUAGCUAAUUGGUAAGGUAAUGGGUCACCAAGGCGACGACGCCUAGCUGGUCUGAGAGGAUGAUCAGGCAAACUGGAACUGAGACAGGGGCCAGACUCCAAAGGGAGGCAGCAGGAGGGAAUAUUGCACAAUGGGGGGAACCCUGAUGCAGGCAGGGCGCGUGUGUGAGGAAGGCCGUCGGGUUGUAAAGCAAUUGCAGCGAGGAGGCGUUACUCGCAGAAGAAGCACAGGCUAACUCCGUGCCAGCCGCGGCGGUAAUUC
rnacentral:rRNA from 1 species